rnacentral:snoRNA from 1 species
CUUUAGUCAAGAGCAGAAACACUACAAACAGAAGCCUCCUAGAUAGUGUAUAUAACCUAUUGCUUGUGUGGAUGGCCCUACAGGACCUUGAAGACAGUC